ensembl:lncRNA
AGGACAGGGUAGAGAUGAGUGAGAGGACAGGGUAGAGAUGAGUGAGAGGACAGGGUAGAGAUGAGUGAGAGGACAGGGUAGAGAUGAGUGAGAGGAUAGAGAUGAGUGAGAGGGUAGAGAUGAGUGAGAGGAUAGAGAUGAGUGAGAGGGUAGAGAUGAGUGAGAGGACAGGGUAGAGAUGAGUGAGAGGACAGAGGGUAGAGAUGAGUGAGAGGACAGAGGGUAGAGAUGAGUGAGAGGACAGAGGGUAGAGAUGAGAGAGAGGAUAGAGAUGAGAGAGAGCAUAGAGAUGAGUGAGAGGAUAGAGAUGAGAGAGAGGAUAGAGAUGAGUGAGAGGGGUAGAGAUGAGUGAGAGGGUAGAGAUGAGUGAGAGGGUAGAGAUGAGUGAGAGGGUAGAGAUGAGUGAGAGGGUAGAGAUGAGUGAGAGGGUAGAGAUGAGUGAGAGGGUAGAGAUGAGUGAGAGGGUAGAGAUGAGUGAGAGGAUAGAGAUGAGUGAGAGGGUAGAGAUGAGUGAGAGGGUAGAGAUGAGUGAGAGGGUAGAGAUGAGUGAGAGGGUAGAGAUGAGUGAGAGGGUAGAGAUGAGUGAGAGGGUAGAGAUGAGUGAGAGGACAGAGGGUAGAGAUGAGUGAGAGGACAGAGGGUAGAGAUGAGUGAGAGGACAGAGGGUAGAGAUGAGUGAGAGGACAGAGGGUAGAGAUGAGUGAGAGGGUAGAGAUGAGUGAGAUGAAUGAGAAGAGGGAGACGAGGGAGAAGGGUGAAUGAGAGAAAGUAGACUAGAGGGAGGUAAAGUUGUUGCCUGAGGGCAUGUGUCCAGUCUAGCUCCCUCCUCUCCCUCCCCCUGCACAGUCAGUCAGUCAGUUAGACACACAGAGCAAAUAUACUCUCCCAGUCUCCCAGUGGAGUACAGGGGCAUCUCUGUCAGGACAGAGGCUCUGCUUUAUCCGCUCAGAGCAACAGGAAGGCCAGACUGCACCACCCACUAGGACCCACCUCCCACCACCACACAGGGAUACUAUGGAUCCUAACACACUGGUCAAUGGGAGAUGCUGUCCCAAGGGCAGGAGGAGAGCGAAGAAAGAGACAGUCUGGAACAGUGAGUGACUGUUGUAUCUGAGUGACUGGAUGUCUUGAGCUAGGAGGCUCUGCAAAAUAGUUUUUUUCAGAAAGGUCUGUGUGUGAAUAGUUAUUUUUCAGACAAGUCUGUGUGUGAAUAGUUGUUUUUCAGACAAGUCUGUGUGUGAAUAGUUGUUUUUCAGACAAGUCUGUGUGUGAAUAGUUGUUUUUCGGGGAGGUCUGUGUGAAUAGUUGUUUUUCAGGCAGGUCUGUGUGUGCAUAGUUGUUUUUCAGGCAGGUCUGUGUGUGAAUAGUUGUUUUUCGGGGAGGUCUGUGUGAAUAGUUGUUUUUCAGGCAGGUCUGUGUGUGCACCUGUACAUCUGUUUAUAUGCUUUUGUGUGUGUGUAGGUCCCUGUGUGUCUGUAUGCAUAUGUCUGUCUCUCUUUGUGUGUGUCAUAUUAGGUGAGAAUUAGCACACAAGUAAGGACCACCCUCAUGAUCCCUCUCUCUCUCUCGAUCUCUCUCUCUCGAUCUCUCUCUCUCUCGAUCCCUCUCUCUCUCGAUCCCUCUCUCUCUCUCGAUCUCUCUUGAUCCCUCUCUCUCUCCCUCUCUCUCUCUCUCGAUCCCUCUCUCUCUCUCUCUCUCUCGAUCCCUCUCUCUCUCUCUCUCAAUAUCUCUCUCUCUCUCUCACACUCUGUGGCCUCUCUUUUCAUCCUCCUUUUUUUGGAGGGAAAACUCCUUCUCUUUGUGUCAUUGUGUUCCAUUUUCAGGAUGUCACAUUCCACCAAACCUGUGACCACCUCCGACUAACUAGCUCUCUUUCACUCCUCGGGAUCAUGUGUGUGUGUGGGGCCACGUGUGUGUGUUUGGGGCCACAUUUCAAUGUCUGUGUGUAUUACCUAGCUAGAUAAAGAAGUGCCCAUGUCCACUCAGGGAGGUCCUUUUCUCAAUUGCUCCCUCGUUCUCUGUCCCCCUCUCCGUCUCUCUCUCCUUUUCAUUCUUUCUGGGGGUGAAUAAAGGAGACAUUUUCAGUGUGAAGAGGAGCGUGUAAUGUCCUGUGUGACCCCCCCCAGAGACAGAGCAGACCACCACGGCAGCCACAUCACCAAUGAGGUGUGUUAGAUCCGUGUGUCUGUAGUUCUGUGUGUGUGUGUGUGGGAUGUGUAUUGAACAGACUGAGAUUGUUAAACUGGCCUUUUCAGACUUCUUCAGGUUGUUAUAGCCACAAGUGCUGUGGAAUCUGUAGUUGGAGAGGGGUCCUGCUCAGAGACAGAGGGGAGGACACUGGGUGGAUGCGUGACCUUUUGGUGAGCAGUCUCCACAGCCAGCAGUCUGUGAAUUGCGUUUGUAUUGCUUUGUCCUGUAUCCCCUCCAACACC